rnacentral:rRNA from 1 species
GACGAACGCUGGCGGCGUGCUUAACACAUGCGAGUCGAACGGAAAGGCCCUGCUUUUGUGGGGUGCUCGAGUGGCGAACGGGUGAGUAACACGUGAGUAACCUGCCCUUGACUUUGGGAUAACUUCAGGAAACUGGGGCUAAUACCGGAUAGGAGCUCCUGCUGCAUGGUGGGGGUUGGAAAGUUUCGGCGGUUGGGGAUGGACUCGCGGCUUAUCAGCUUGUUGGUGGGGUAGUGGCUUACCAAGGCUUUGACGGGUAGCCGGCCUGAGAGGGUGACCGGCCACAUUGGGACUGAGAUACGGCCCAGACUCCUACUGGAGGCAGCAGUGGGGAAUAUUGCACAAUGGGCGGAAGCCUGAUGCAGCAACGCCGCGUGCGGGAUGACGGCCUUCGGGUUGUAAACCGCUUUCGCCUGUGACGAAGCGUGAGUGACGGUAAUGGGUAAAGAAGCACCGGCUAACUACGUG